UGUAACGUGCUAUUUCUGCUCUGCCUCCUGCGUCUGACCUUCAGAUCCACUUGCUGUAAAUAAUUCAUGCUGGUAAAACUCCCGGCCGAGCGUGCUCGGGGAAGCAGGAGCAGAAGGGGACGUGAACUCCACCAGAGAGGGACUGUCUCAGUGCUCAUGACCCCAAGAUGGGGUGGAAGCAGAGAGGCCACCCCGUCUGUCCAAGCAAAGCACCUGACAUCACCGUUCCUGGCUGCAGUGUGCACAGAAAAUGCCCCACAUCUAGCAUAAUAUUAGCUUUUGUGGCCCUUCCAGAUCACCGUAGGAUCAGCCACUUCCCGCGGACCAUUCACUGCUCAAACUACACUUGUUGAAGUCAAUGGGGAGCCUGUUUCUUGACGUCAGUGGUUCUGGAUGAGGCUUCCUAGAGCUAGGAUUGUCCUGAUUUUGUAGCAUGCUUCACUCUAAGCCCCUUGUUGGUACUUAAUGAAUGAGGAGAAUAAUCUGCAGAAGUCUAAUGACUGCAUUCACAUUUAGGCAUUUCCUAGGAUUUAUGAGGCUCUGAUUGCUAUCCCCGCAACAUUUUCUAAAGAGUAAUUGCUAUUCACUAAUUGCAUCUAUAAAGCUCUUGUGGUGUCUCCA